CUGCUGCCUCCCGUAGGAGUCUGGGCCGUGUCUCAGUCCCAAUGUGGCCGGCCACCCUCUCAGGUCGGCUACUGAUCGUCGCCUUGGUGGGCUUUUAUCUCACCAACUAGCUAAUCAGACGCGGAUCCAUCCCAUACCACCGGAGUUUUUCACACAAGGCCAUGCAGCCUCGUGCGCUUAUGCGGUAUUAGCAGCCGUUUCCGGCUGUUAUCCCCCGGUAUGGGGCAGGUUAUCCACGCGUUACUCACCCGUCCG
rnacentral:rRNA from 1 species